UCACGUCUUUGAUCUCAUUCGGCGCGGUUUCCUCGAGAAGCACAGAAAGAACUUGCCUGUUGAGGAGUCGCAAGUUAGAUGCAGGGUCUUCGGGCAUAAACAGCAUGGUGUGCGGCCACCGCUGUGGUGCA
rnacentral:pre_miRNA from 1 species